rnacentral:rRNA from 1 species
AUUGAACGCUGGCGGCAUGCCUAACACAUGCAAGUCGAACGGCAGCACAGUAUGUAGCAAUACAUAUGGGUGGCGAGUGGCGGACGGGUGCGUAAUAUGUAGGGAUCUGCCCUGAAGCGGGGGACAACCCGGGGAAACCCGGGCUAAUACCGCAUAAUACUCUACGGAGGAAAUCUGGCACGCAAGUGCUGGGGCUUUAGGAUGAACCUACAUCCGAUUAGCUAGUUGGUGAGGUAAUAGCUCACCAAGGCCAUGAUCGGUAGCUGGUCCGAGAGGAUGACCAGCCACACUGGGACUGAGACACGGCCCAGACUCCUACGGAGAGCAGCAGUGGGGAAUAUUGGACAAUGGGGGAGACCGUGAUCCAGCAAAGCGGCGUGGGUGAAGGAGGCCUUCGGGUUGUAAAGCCCUUUAGGCGGGGAAGAAGGUUAUAGGGUGAUAAGCCUUAUAGCUUGACGGUACCCGCAGAAUAAGCACCGGCUAACUCUGUGCCAGCCGCCGCCGUAA